CGACGCAAUCUGCUUAUGUGGCU
rnacentral:snRNA from 1 species